GUGGGGUAGCCGUAGCGAAAGCGAGUCUGAAUAGGGCGUAUCCACACAACAGUGUGUGGUGUAGUGGUGUGUUCUGGACCCGAAGCGGAGUGAUCUACCCAUGGCCAGGGUGAAGCGCGGGUAAGACCGCGUGGAGGCCCGAACCCACUUAGGUUGAAGACUGAGGGGAUGAGCUGUGGGUAGGGGUGAAAGGCCAAUCAAACUCCGUGAUAGCUGGUUCUCCCCGAAAUGCAUUUAGGUGCAGCGUCGCGUGUUUCUUACCGGAGGUAGAGCUACUGGAUGGCCGAUGGGCCCCACAGGGUUACUGACGUCAGCCAAACUCCGAAUGCCGGUAAGUCCAAGAACGCGGCAGUGAGACGGCGGGGGAUAAGCUCCGUGCGUCGAGAGGGAAACAGCCCAGAUCGCCGGCUAAGGCCCCUAAGCGUGUGCUAAGUGGAAAAGGAUGUGCAGUCGCAAAGACAACCAGGAGGUUGGCUUAGAAGCAGCCACCCUUGAAAGAGUGCGUAAUAGCUCACUGGUCAAGUGAUUGUGCGCCGAUAAUGUAGCGGGGCUCAAGCACACCGCCGAAGCCGCGGCAACGCGUAAGCGUUGGGUAGGGGAGCGUCCUGCAUCCGGUGAAGCAGCCGAGUAAUCGAGCUGUGGAGGGUGUGGGAGUGAGAAUGCAGGCAUGAGUAGCGAUAAGGCAAGUGAGAACCUUGCCCGCCGAAAGACCAAGGGUUCCUGGGGCAGGCCAGUCCGCCCAGGGUGAGUCGGGACCUAAGGCGAGGCCGACAGGCGUAGUCGAUGGACAACGGGUUGAUAUUCCCGUACCCGUGUGUGAGCGCCCAAUGACGAAUCAUCGGUACUAACCGCCCAAAUGGUGGUCUACCAAACCCUUCGGGGGGCGGGGAUCACCGGCUGCGCGGGACCUUCGGUGUUAGUAGUCAAGCGAUGGGGUGACGCAGGAAGGUAGCCGUACCAGUCAGUGGUAAUACUGGGGCAAGCCCGUAGGGAGUCAGAUAGGCAAAUCCGUCUGACACAGAUCCUGAGAGGUGAUGCAUAGCCGAUUGAGGCGAAUUCGGUGAUCCUCAGCUGCCGAGAAAAGCCUCUAGCGAGCACACACACGGCCCGUACCCCAAACCGACACAGGUGGUCAGGUAGAGAAUACCAAGGCGUACGAGUGAACUAUGGUUAAGGAACUCGGCAAAAUACCUCCGUAACUUCGGGAGAAGGAGGACCCCUUACCGUCAUGGCCCUCGCGGCCGGCAGCGGUGGGGGGUGGCACAAACCAGUGAGAAGCGACUGUUUACUAAAAACACAGGUCCGUGCGAAGUCGCAAGACGAUGUAUACGGACUGACGCCUGCCCGGUGCUGGAAGGUUAAGAGGACCCGUUAACCGCAAGGUGAAGCGGAGAAUUUAAGCCCCAGUAAACGGCGGUGGUAACUAUAACCAUCCUAAGGUAGCGAAAUUCCUUGUCGGGUAAGUUCCGACCUGCACGAAUGGCGUAACGACUUCUCAACUGUCUCAACCAUAGACUCGGCGAAAUUGCACUACGAGUAAAGAUGCUCGUUACGCGCGGCAGGACGAAAAGACCCCGGGACCUUCACUAUAGCUUGGUAUUGAUGUUCGAUACGGUUUGUGUAGGAUAGGUGGGAGACUAUGAAGCAUUAACGCCAGUUAGUGUGGAGUCGUUGUUGAAAUACCACUCUGAUCGUAUUGGACCUCUAACUUCGAACCGUAUAUCCGGUUCAGGGACAGUGCCUGGUGGGUAGUUUAACUGGGGCGGUUGCCUCCCAAAAAGUAACGGAGGCGCCCAAAGGUUCCCUCAACCUGGACGGCAAUCAGGUGUUGAGUGCAAGUGCACAAGGGAGCUUGACUGCGAGACUGACACGUCAAGCAGGGACGAAAGUCGGGACUAGUGAUCCGGCACCCCCGAGUGGAAGGGGUGUCGCUCAACGGAUAAAAGGUACCCCGGGGAUAACAGGCUGAUCUUCCCCAAGAGUCCAUAUCGACGGGAUGGUUUGGCACCUCGAUGUCGGCUCGUCGCAUCCUGGGGCUGGAGCAGGUCCCAAGGGUUGGGCUGUUCGCCCAUUAAAGCGGCACGCGAGCUGGGUUUAGAACGUCGUGAGACAGUUCGGUCUCUAUCCGCCGCGCGCGUCAGAAGCUUGAGGAAAGCUGUCCCUAGUACGAGAGGACCGGGACGGACGAACCUCUGGUCCACCAGUUGUCACACCAGUGGCACGGCUGGAUAGCCACGUUCGGACAGGAUAACCGCUGAAAGCAUCUAAGCGGGAAACCUUCUCCAAGACCAGGCUUCUCACCCUUUUAGAGGGAUAAGGCCCCCCGCAGACCACGGGAUUGAUAGACCAGACCUGUAAACGUAGUAAUACGUGAGGGAACUGGCACUAACCGGCCGAAAACUUACAACA
rnacentral:rRNA from 1 species